CGCGUAGGCGGGCGAGUCAGUCUGGCGUGAAAUCUUCACCGCUUAACGGGAAGAGGUCGCUGGAUACUGCUUGCCUUGAGGCCGAUAGAGGGAGACGGAAUUCCUGGUGUAGCGGUGGAAUGCGUAGAUAUCAGGAAGAACACCGAUUGCGAAGGCGGUCUCCUGGGUCGGACCUGACGCUGAGGCGCGAAAGCCAGGGGAGCGAACAGGAUUAGAUGCCCUGGUAGUCC
rnacentral:rRNA from 1 species